AACUUUUGGCAAGGGAUCACUUGGCUCUCCCAUCAAUGAAGAACGCAGCGAAAUGCGAUAAGUAAUGUGAAUUGCAGAAGUCAGUGAAUCAUCGAAUCUUUGAACGCACAUUGCGCCCCUUGGUAUUCCUUGGGGCAUGCCUGUUCGAGCGUCACUGCAACCCCCCUCAUAGAAAUUAUGGUAUUGAUGGAAGUGAACUGAGCCUACCAAUAUGCCCAGGUUACUCCAUUGAAAUGCAUAGGCAGGACAAUUAACCUCUGCAAUGGACUUAGUAGCUGUUUUGAAAACAUGAACCAGUCCCUUGCUAGGUUCCAGCCUGGCCUCCACGGACCUCCAUCCAAGAUGAAUUCUGGGUUGACCUCGGAUCAGGUAGGGAUACCCGCUGAACUUAAGCAUAUCAAUAAGCGGAGGCU
rnacentral:misc_RNA from 1 species